rnacentral:misc_RNA from 1 species
AACGUAGGGGGCGAGCGUUGCCCGGAUUCACUGGGCGUAAAGCGGGUGUAGGCGGUUCGUUAAGUCGGAUGUGAAAUCCCACGGCUCAACUGUGGAAUUGCAUCCGAUACUGGCGGACUUGAGGACGGUAGAGGCCGGUGGAAUUCCCGGUGUACCGGUGAAAUGGGCAGAUAUCGGGAGGAACACCAGUGGCGAAGGCGGCCGGCUGGGCCGUUCCUGACGCUGAGACCCGAAAGCCAGGGGAGCGAACCGG